CUCCAGACUCCUACGGGAGGCAGCAGUGGGGAAUAUUGCGCAAUGGGCGAAAGCCUGACGCAGCGACGCCGCGUGAGGGAUGAAGGUCUUCGGAUCGUAAACCUCUGUCAGCAGGGAAGAACGGUCACUGUGCUAAUCAGCAGUGAAUUGGCGGUACCUGCAAAGGAAGCACCGGCUAACUCCGUGCCAGCAGCCGCGGUAAUACGUAGGUGGCGAGCGUUAUCCGGAUUUAUUGGGCGUAAAGCGUCCGCAGCCGGUUUAUUAAGUAUAGAAUAAAACUUCGGGGCUCAACCCCGUCUCGUUCUAUAAACUGAUAGACUAGAGUGUGGUAGAGGCAAGUGGAAUUUCUAGUGUAGCGGUAGAAUGCGUAGAUAUUAGAAGGAACACCAGUGGCGAAGGCGACUUGCUGGGCCAUCACUGACGGUCAGGGACGAAAGCGUGGGGAGCGAAUAGGAUUAGAUACCCCAGUAA
rnacentral:rRNA from 1 species